GAAGAAACAACAGCUGUGUUGGUAAUGAACACUUUAUGUGUUUUAAUACAAUAUGUUUCUUUCAUAACACAGAGUUAAUGGUCUGUAUGUCACUCAGAUGAGGGAAUUUGUGAAAAUGUGAUUGUAAUCUCUUUGUUUCCUUCCUGAUUGCACUCAUGUGUCUGUCUUCAUUACAGAUAGGAGUGUGUGAUGGUUCCGGGUGUGUGUGGCGAUCACGCUCUGUGUUUCAAUAAACAGGGAAGUUACUACUGCAGCUGUAAUGAAGGAUUUCAGUCAACACCACCCAACUUCACAAUGACAACAGGACAGUGUUUGGACAUCGAUGAGUGUUCAGAUCCAGAUAUUAUCAGGGCGGAUACAGCUGCAAAUGUCACCAGGGUUACAGUAACUAUGGAAAUAACCAGUCAAAAUGCACUGAGAUUGUGCAUUUCUGUCUGGUUAAUGAAUGAGUCUCAUUUGUCCAUGAUGUCACCCAGUUUCUGGAGAACAGAUCAGCUGUUAUUCUGAUCAUAUGUUUGAAUGCCCAUUUCCUCUUUUUUUCUUCUCAAAUAUAAUUCAGAAAAUAUUAGGUGUCUUGUUUUUUUAGUUGUUCAUGAAAACAGAAUGUGCUAAACUCUCUUCAUUUUAUUUCUAAUGUGCUUUAUGGUAUGACAAAUCUUGUAAUGUGUUGCCAAAGCAUUUAUAAUGUGUACGAUGAAUCUUGAACAGAUGAGGACACAUUAUGAAAUGGUAAAUAAAAAGAAAGUGAAACAA